UACGUAGGGUGCGAGCGUUGUCCGGAAUUAUUGGGCGUAAAGGGCUCGUAGGCGGUUUGUCGCGUCGGGAGUGAAAACCAGGUGCUUAACACCUGGCUUGCUUUCGAUACGGGCAGACUAGAGGUAUUCAGGGGAGAACGGAAUUCCUGGUGUAGCGGUGAAAUGACGCAGAUAUCAGGAGGAACACCGGUGGCGAAGGCGGUUCUCUGGGCAUGUCCUGACGCUGAGGCACGAAGGCCAGGGGAGCAAACGGG
rnacentral:rRNA from 1 species